GGGCUGCCGAUUCUGACAGACGUGUAAACAGAUGCAAGCGUUGUUGCUAAUGACAGGUGAUUAUAAGUGGCGUGGGUGCCAAAGUAAUUAAACCGCUCUUUGACAGGAACAUUUGGCGGUGUGGUAUUUCAGCAUUAGAAAAAUUGUUACAACACAUUUCCCCCCCUGCUAGGCUGUAAGGCCUGAAUACCAUUAAUUACGAUCCUUGGGCUGUGGUGGUAGUGCUUGUUGAGAUUUCUCUAGCUUUGAUCGGGAGACACUUUGUGGAAGCAGAGCUAAGGGUGGAAAUAUUGGUAGAUGCAGAUUAUUUUUGUCCAUCAAACUGCAGUUUUUCCUACUCUAAGGAAGAGGAGCCUUUUCCAGUCAAAGGGCCACAUUUCUUCAUGUGGAAACCUUUCAGGGGCCAUUGGUUGGUAGGGCCAGAGGCAAAAUAGACAGACAAGGGGUGUCACUCUUGCCUAUGCACAGUGUGCUACAUUUCAGCCAUGCAAAAGCCAGUCUGCCAUCUUGAUUCAAAAUCGUGUCUGGUAUCAAAACGUCAACGAAGAGUUCCCACCUCUACAUAAAAAAAACCCCUUCAUGCUGAGUUUGUGGCAAUAUCCUAAGAGGCCAGAAAAUGGGUGAUGUUAAUAGUGAUGCGCUUUGUCUCAUAUCUUGUUUAGCCAUGUAUUUAUCCCACUAGAAUUUUGUUUGAAAGGUAUAUGAGGGUUUAAACUCUUUGUAACAAAGCUUUCCAUUAUUUUAAAUGGUUGCAUGUCUUUCAUUUGGUUAGAUGCCCCAAAUCAUCCAUUAAAAAACUAGGAUGAAAGUCCUAGAGAAUAGGUUCUUUUAUGUUAGAUAUGUAAAACUAGAGUGGUUUGUCUGCUGGUGCCUUUAGAGCUUUCCCAUUUUUGUUUUUGUAUUUUUUUUUUAAAAAAAAACCUCUGCCGUUUAUGAGGUUCUAAAUACUUUGGCGGCUAAUCAGCGCACUAGCAAGUUAAAAAGAGAGAAGUUAAACAUCGCCAAUCUUGAAAAGAGCUUCCAUUGUCUUCUACCUCUGGUGCCAGGGGAAUCUUUUGAGUCGUGCUGCAGUGCUCCUCUCAGUGUAACAUGUCAUGAAACAUUUCUCAGUAAUGACCGACACUGAAUAUGAGUUGACAGGACCUCUGACUGGGCAGAAUGGGUUCAAUUACCAGAGAUGUGGGGUUACCUGAGAUAUAUUUUUUUAAGGACCAAUUGCACUUGAUUCCGACCUCUUAACUCACAGGAUUUGUGGCAGUGACAACAAAUAGGCUGAUUAAGUGCUGCUUCCAACCCUUCACUUUUUUUCCUAGCAUGGUAAAUAAUUUUAGCUUCUUCCACAUCUAUGUUUCCCCCCCCUUUAAACCCAAGUGUAAUAUAUUUAUUAAAUGAAGUGUAAUAAUACAAAUGCAGUGAAUGGUGUCUGGUGCCCAUUGGGAUGGAUAGAGCAGAAAGCAGGGAGACCAAACAGUAUGUGGAGCCAGACCCAAUGAUAGGCAGAACCAGCUAGGCCACAUCCACACCAUGCCUUUAAAGCACUAUGAUAUCACUUUAGACAGUCUUGGCUUCCCCCUAAGAACCCUGGGAACUGUAGGUUCUUAAGGGUAUUGAGAAUUGUUAGCAGACCCCUAUUCCCCUCCCAGAGCCACAGUUCCCAGAGUUCCCUGUCAAAACCACUCUGGGAAUUGUAGCUCUGGGAAAGGAACAGUUCUAGCCUGUGCCCAUCUGCCCUGCUGAUUUCUACAAGGGCAACACUGACUCUUAAGGGGAGGAGGAGGCAGUGCCAACCCCUGAACUGGUCAUAAAUAGGAAGGCAGGCAGGUGGGGGCUGACUGAGGUUGGUGGGGGCCCUAAUGGACCAACCUCUGCUGAGCGCUGGUCCCUACUGCCCUCGUCAAUUUCAUCUCUUCCCAGCAUGAAGCCUGGCUCGAGAGCUGUCAUUCUAUCUCGGAAAAAUAUCUGGGACAUAGUGUCCCGAAAUCAAUAUAAGACAAGUGAUUGGUCUCUUAACCUCACCUUUCUUCUUCUUGUAGCGGUUACAUUGCUCCCGUUCACCUGUAGCCAACCUGACGCCAGAGUAAAUGAAAGGACCUGCCAUCAAAAGUAUCUUCUCUCUCCCUUUCCCCGCUUUUCUUACUUGGGACUGAGCAGAGUUUUACACUUGUUCCUAGUCUGCUGCCUUCAGCUCCCAGAUAGAAUUAUAGCAAAACUGCCUAAUUAAACUGUCGCUGUCUGCCUGCACUCGAGUGCCUUUACAAAGUCAUUUAACUGACUGACAUUCCAAACUAUUAAAGCCGGUUGCGGCGUGUCUCCAUUGCUGUGGAUAAAAAUGAAUGAAAAUUUGUUAAUGUGCGCUGACAUUUGAUCCUGGAUGUUGAACUAACGCUGCACCACCUGAACUCAUCUCUUCCCUCCCUCCCACCUACCCACCACCUUCAUUCUAAUCGCUUCCUAUGUUUGUUAUUUCCUAUAAUAAAUUGGAGGAAAUUGCAACAGGUAUUAACAUUCUUCAGUUUGAUUUAUGAGUGCCUGUUGAACACAGCAGCCAUCUCACGCUUCUUUUGAGAUUGUACUUCUGUGCAUGAUUAGACCCGUGAUGGAAUAUUUCUCUCCCUCCCACUCCAAAUAUACAGUAAGAGCAUGAUACAUUUCCUUCAUGGAGGAUGAAUAGAGUUACUACUACUAUGACUUCUGAACCAGGGAGAGAGAUCUUGUGGCCCUUCAGAUGUUGUUGAACUCUGUGGAGGCUGGUGUGACACUGCCCCACCAACUCUGUCUGUCCUCAGCCAGUCCCUAUCUACCUACCUUCUUACUUACAACCAGCCUCCUUCUUUUUAGUCCUCUUAGUGUUGCCCUUCUAGAAUUCAACAGGGAGGAAGAUGGGGACAAAACCAGAAUUAGGUUUCUCUGCCUAUCAUUGGUUCUACCUCCACUAGCCACUUGUGCUGGCAAAUCCUACUUUUCUCCCCCCUGAUAUCUGCUCUACUAGUCACAGUGGCAACUCCCAUCACAAGAAGCUUUGGUUCACUUUCUUGAUAAACUGACAUUCACUUUAAUGGAAUUAUGCUCUCUGGUCACAUCUCUACUUUUUUUUAAAAAAAUGAAAAUGUAAGCUAAGAUCCAGAGGGCUAAGGUUCAAGUCAGGAAGUCAAAACACACCAAGAGCUAGGAAGGCCAGAUUUGCCCAAGCAAACUACCACCCUCAGUAGCAGAGACUACACCAUGGCCAGCGUGGGUGGGCAGAGUCACUCCAGUACCUAGAAACCCUUCAUUGCAGGAAUGGAGAACUUGUGGCCCUCGGGGUGUUGUUGGACUGCAGCUCCCAUCAUCCUUGACUAUUGUAUGUGCUGGCCGGGGCUGAUGGGAGUUGGAGUCCAACAACAUUUAUAGGUCCACUGGUUCCGCAUCCUUAUUUUUCUGCUUAGGACAGCAGCAUAUUUUAAUCUACAGUCCUGGGUGACUCCCCGGAUGGUGCUUCCAACAGCAUUGAGCUCCUUUGGUUAACUAGGCUGUGUGUGGAAUAAACACCUUUUUCUCUUUUUUCUUGGACCAUCUCCCUGUCCAUUGCAGCCAAUGACAAGUAAGUAAUUGGGAAAGCCCGCAUCUGUUUUGCAAGCAGAAGGUCCCAGGUUCAGUCCUGCAACAUCUCUAGAUAGGGUUGGGGUGGGUGUCCACCCGAAACCCUGGAAAGCCACUGCCAGUGCAGGCAGUACUACGAAAGCUGGACCAAUGGUCUGCUUCCCGUGUCCCUAUGUUCUGGUAUUUUAAAAAUUAAAAUUCCCCAGCCAAAGUGCUAUUUAUCAGACCCAAACCAUUUGCGUGGUGUCACAUUUGUCUGUGUCCAAUAGCCAUGUCUCAGAGCAAAUGCUGUUUGUGUCUUGCAUAACAGGAGCUCCGAGAUUCUAGAAGACAAUGAAAGCACCUGAAGGCCCUCUCAUUGCAGAGACUGGUGUCCUUCUGCCACACUACUCACAUUUUUCCUCCUUCCAAUUCCUCACUUCCUCGCUAGGCACGUAAAAGCCGAGCAGCAACUCCACUAGGGGUGCCACAUCUGAUGUCCAGCCCAGGAGGAAACAUUUCCUUGCCAACGCAAUGCGGGAACAAUAUCCUGCCAAAAUCCACAGGGGAAAUAGUUCACUUUCCUGUGUGUUGGCUCCAACAAUAACACAUCCGAACUAAAUACAGAAUUAGCUUCCUGUAUUUGAUUCCGCCAUCCCCAAGUCCAAGAAACCUGGAGUUCUCCAGAGUAGGCAAACAGUAGAACAACUGACAUUUUAAAAUCCCCUCCUGCAGAAAAGAUAUGUACUCAUUCCUGAGCAGAUAAACUGGUCCCACCUUAUGCUAUUGUCUUUUCAUCUUUUGAGGAGCCUCAUGAAACUCCGGCUGGAGCUUGAGUCCCAACUUCCAUUAACAGCACAAAUUUUCAGUGUGCUAUUUAUAUAUUGGGUUGAUUAACUUAUGAAUAGCCUUUCACAUGCAUCUCAAUGUGAUUUACUAAAGUACUAUAAACAGGUAGAAGUUAGUUUUUAAAAUGGUACAAAAACAUAAAGAUAAGAGAUAAAACUGG